rnacentral:rRNA from 1 species
GACGAACGCUGGCGGCGUGCUUAACACAUGCAAGUCGAACGAUGAAGCCAGCUUGCUGGGUGGAUUAGUGGCGAACGGGUGAGUAACACGUGGGCAACCUGCCCCAAACUCUGGGAUAACUCCCCGAAAGAGGUGCUAAUACCGGAUACGAACUGGACAUACAUCUUUACACGUUGGAAAGUUUUUCGGUUUGGGAUGGUCCCGCGGCCUAUCAGCUUGUUGGUGAGGUAACGGCUCACCAAGGCUACGACGGGUAACCGGCCUGAGAGGGCGACCGGUCACACUGGGACUGAGACACGGCCCAGACUCCUACGGGAGGCAGCAGUGGGGAAUAUUGCGCAAUGGGCGAAAGCCUGACGCAGCGACGCCGCGUGAGGGAUGAAGGUCUUCGGAUCGUAAACCUCUUUCAGUAGGGACGAAGCGAAAGUGACGGUACCUAAAGAAGAAGCACCGGCUAACUACGUGCCAGCAGCCGCAGUAA